UACGAAGGGGGCUAGCGUUGCUCGGAAUCACUGGGCGUAAAGCGCACGUAGGCGGAUUGCUAAGUCAGGGGUGAAAUCCUGGAGCUCAACUCCAGAACUGCCUUUGAUACUGGCGAUCUCGAGUCCGGGGAGAGGUGAGUGGAACUGCGAGUGUAGAGGUGAAAUUCGUAGAUAUUCGCAAGAACACCAGUGGCGAAGGCGGCUCACUGGCCCGGUACUGACGCUGAGGUGCGAAAGCGUGGGGAGCAAACAGG
rnacentral:rRNA from 1 species